GCAAGUUUCCAGUUUCAAGUGAUUUGACCGUGUAGUUAUCGAGAUCUAAAGAACUUUUACAACGUUUUACAACGUUAAUGGUUUCUGAUUGUUGCUGGGCAGUAUAUAUUGAUCUGCAGUUGUUUUGGCAUUAGUUCCCAGUUGAUGUCGAAUGUUGAUGUACCUCGUACCGUAGUUGUUCAUUAGAUGUAGUGCCGUUGCUUAUUCUAGCAUGGCUGGAUUCCCGGUUAGUAAUGUCGCCAUUGCGGCGGCUGUUGGUUGCGAGUGAGUGCAGUUCCAUAAUACGGUCGCCGUGCGGAUGGAGAGGGAUGCGGGCUGGCUGGAAUACAUUCAGGACUCUGACGGCGACAAGGUGUGGAGUGACGUUGAUUCCUCCAGAGAACCUUGUCUGCACGAUGGCGAAGAGUACUGUACAAUCUGUACUGAAUAUCCUCUGACAUAUACUACAGGAUAAAAGUGGCACUUCUUGAAGAUGGCAGACUCCUUUCUUGUUAUGUCCGCGUUUGUGAAAACUGUCAUGUUUUACCGCUUGCCAGUGGCGAAAUGGCGCCUGCCGUUGCCGGUGGCACGUCACUGUGUACACCCUGCCGUCUCAACGUGCCGAGAAGGCCAUCCACAAGUGCAGUGCUCUCUCAUCUGCGCGACGGCUUUGAUGAGCGCAUCCGUGCAUGGGCAUCCUAAUAACACGUAAAGGACGUGGUCGUGUUGUCAGGAUGUCAGUACACGGAUGCGGAUCCUAACAACACGUCUACGUCCUUGGCCCUUCUCGCUGGUCUUGAAUUUUCGGCGCCCCUUCACAUAAGCCAAGUACGUGAAGGGUCGUCGAUAUUACAGGAUUCUGCAACAUGAAGUCCGGCAGAUUACCCUGGAUGUUCCCGUCGGUAAUGAGCCAUCGUGCCAUGGAAAUAAUUCAAUUUAUAAUUAUUUUAAAGCCCGCUGCUGCCGAGUUCACGGUUCGCAGACAGCGACGCUCGCCACGGAGGACAGCGGUCGUUUCCACGUGCGAUUCGGCUGGGAUAAAUGCACAUUCAUUGUGCACCGCCGGGGGGACUCCGACACCAUGAACUGGACAGUGGAAACUCUGAUGAGGAUGCUGGAUGAGCUGACAACGUGUCCAGUCAGGCUGCCAACAGCUGGCAAAGAGCAGACAGGAAAAUGUCCCGGUACAUGGUGUCAAAAAUGGGAUACAUACACUAAAACUUUCGCUUUCGCGCACUGCGAAUCAAUUUUCUGUACUACUGCAUGUCAUUCGAAAGCUAAAUAGUUUAUAUAUAUUGUUCUGAAAACCGUUUGCCCGCGCAACGUCCGGUUGCCGAGAUAUGGCGUACUAAAAUGGGCGAAAAGUUCAAAUGCAUUGUUGUGUACCAAAAGUCGGGUUAUUACCCGCUCUUCUUGAAACCUUGCUGUAAAAGACACAUGGCCAUAAAGUCGAAAGUGAACCAAUUUCAGGUUCAUAGCAUUUUCCCAUCAUUUUAGAAUGAAUUUUAAAAUUUUUGAAAUUCAUUUUAAAAUUGCCCAUUAAAACGUUUCGCCCAUUUUAGUAAGCCAUAUCUCAGCAACCGAAUGUUGCGCGCGCAAACGGUUUUAUGAACAAUCUGUACAACUCCUUUAGCUUUAGAACGAUAUAUAGUAUCACAAAAAAUUGAACUGGAGUCGCGAAAGCGAAAGUUUUAGUGUAUACAUCCCAUUUUUAACACCAUGUACCGGGCCAUUUCCCUUAAACGCCAACAAACAGAGACAGCACGGAGACCGACGGUCGUCGUAAUACGACGUGCUACAAGCAGUACGAAGUACGAAGAUGGCUGAAUUAAGACCGGCUCUCCAAGUCAUCAGUUCCCCGUUACCGUGAAUAUUCCCCAUGCAUUCAAGUAAUACUUUGAUCGACCGUAUAUAAUUUUUAAUUUUAGUCGCACGCUUGAAAAAUGUGUGUUCAAGUAACCGGCUACUUCUUCCUGAAAGCCAAUUUUAUUGCAGACUUGUGUAAUGUCGACUUUUUCUUCUGAAUAACCACUUCUUAGGUCACAUGUGUAUCUUGUUUAAGAAUAUUCAUGGCUUAUAAUUCCAUACGUUAAGAAUCGCACCAGAAAGAGAAUGCUUAGCCCUAUCAAUAGUUUCUGUGUUAUCAGACAUACUUAUGCGUUCUGGCUGAGUGAGUCACGAAAAAACUGAUGUGGCAGAUACUUUUGCAUAACGUUUCACAAAAGUCACGUUCCAUGCGGACAUCCUAACGUGUACACAGUACUUCUUUAUCUGGACCAGAUUAAACAUUUGUGUUUUAACGACAAAUUCAUCGGCAGUACACAAAAAAAGAUACGCACAAGAAAAUAA